AAUAUAGAACAUUCCGCAGAGGACAACGUGUACAAGCAGUUCAGUUGUGUUUUCCUAUAGUCCUUUCUGCUGCACUUCUGUCAGCAUAGUUUGGUCUCAAGCAGAGAAAAAGUGAUGUCACCAGCUCCUGUGGGCCAAAUUCCAGCCUCAAGCCAACUUGUGCAUGUUCACUGAAGCUCAUGUGGUCUGAAUCAGGGAUGGCAGAAGCAGCAGCCUCCUCUUCCUGUUUCUGAGCGAAAGAUGAAUGAGUGUGGUACCAGAUGAAAGGCAGCGGUAACAAGCAGAAUGGCUAUGCAGAUACCUGAUGAGUCUCUUGGUUGUCAUGGCACUCGAUGCAAAGGACCGGAGCUGUCCCAGCCCCGUGCUGGGGGAAUUAAAAAUGAAAAUGAGAAAGAGAACAAUUCAAGGAACAAAGCAUUUGCUUAUCUUCGGAUGGAUGAUGAAACCCACUUCUGUCCAGCAAAGCAGCUAAGCCUGUACUGGAGUCCUGUUAAAG